CGUCGGUACUACGCGAAAGUCGCGCAUGAAAUUUUCAACAAUGCGGAUAAAUUACAAAAUCAUUCCGAUAACUUAAUUCUCACGCUGCAGUUCGCUGCUUGUGUUGUCAGUUACGUAAGAGUUUGCAACGAGUUUCGUAGUGAAGCAAAGUGCAAACUUAUGUCAUCGUUCGAUGGUGUAUCUCGGUCUGCAAAAUGCAGCACGAGCAUCUUAAAAGCAUACUGUCAAAAUGUCCCGGCGCAUUACACGGGCUUAUCAUUGAAUUUUCAGAUUUCGAAAGUGCUAUUGUACAGACUGCCGAUUCUUAUGCAAAUAACACUUUUAUAGGCAGAAAUUGCGAAACUGGGGCACCUACGAGGAGUUUCGACGUUAUUCGUCGUCGAGGAUUCGGGAAAAUUGUUACCAAAGUUCUCGUGUCAGAUCAGAUGUUCGCAAGGUUUCUCAUAUUAAAAAACUUCAGCCGCGGCUGAGUCGUAGGGAAACCUGUUCUGGAAUGGUCUACCGAUAUAACACUAGGUGUACCGAGCACUUUAAGUGGCUUGUUUGUAAUUUCUUGUUAAAAUUACAGACUACGUUCGAUCUGAUUAGUUACGGUUUUCAUUGUAAUACAUCUACCAACAUGUGAGUAUAUUCAAUAAUUACUGGCAAAAGUUCUUUUGUACGUUUUGGAUACCAGUUUAACGUUUUCUUUUAUACUAAAUAUAUAUCUCAUCGGAACUUUUAA